rnacentral:rRNA from 1 species
UACGAGUGCCCCAAGCGUUAUCCGGAAUUACUGGGCGUAAAGCGUGUGUAGGCGGUUUGGUUAGUCGCUCGUUAAACCUCCCGGCUUAACCGGGAAAGUGCGAGCGAAACGGCCAGACUAGAGGAGGCGAGGGGUUGAUGGAACUCAUGGUGUAGGGGUGAAAUCCGUUGAUAUCAUGGGGAACACCGAAAGCGAAGGCAGUCAACUAGCGCCUUACUGACGCUGCAACACGAAAGCGUGGGGAUCAAACGGG